rnacentral:rRNA from 1 species
AAUGAUGCAUAGCCGAGUUGAAAGACUGAUUGGCCACAUUGGGACUGAGACACGGCCCAAAUUCCUACGGGAGGCUGCAGUAGGGAAUCUUCCACAAUGGGCGAAAGCCUGAUGGAGCAACGCCGCGUGUGUGAUGAAGGCUUUCGGGUCGUAAAGCACUGUUGUAUGGGAAGAAAAGUUAAGGUAGGGAAUGACCUUAGCCUGACGGUACCAUACCAGAAAGGGACGGCUAAAUACGUGCCAGCAGCCGCGGUAAUACGUAUGUCCCGAGCGUUAUCCGGAUUUAUUGGGCGUAAAGCGAGCGCAGACGGUUGGUUAAGUCUGAUGUGAAAGCCCGGAGCUCAACUCCGGAAAGGCAUUGGAAACUGGUUAACUUGAGUGCAGUAGAGGUAAGUGGAACUCCAUGUGUAGCGGUGGAAUGCGUAGAUAUAUGGAAGAACACCAGCGGCGAAGGCGGCUUACUGGACUGUAACUGACGUUGAGGCUCGAAAGUGUGGGUAGCAAACAGGAUUAGAUACCCUGGUAGUCCACACCGUAAACGAUGAACACUAGGUGUUAGGAGGUUUCCGCCUCUUAGUGCCGAAGCUAACGCAUUAAGUGUUCCGCCUGGGGAGUACGACCGCAAGGUUGAAACUCAAAGGAAUUGACGGGGACCCGCACAAGCGGUGGAGCAUGUGGUUUAAUUCGAAGCAACGCGAAGAACCUUACCAGGUCUUGACAUCCUUUGAAGCUUUUAGAAAUAGAAGUGUUCUCUUCGGAGACAAAGUGACAGGUGGUGCAUGGUCGUCGUCAGCUCGUGUCGUGAGAUGUUGGGUUAAGUCCCGCAACGAGCGCAACCCUUAUUGUUAGUUGCCAGCAUUCAGAUGGGCACUCUAGCGAGACUGCCGGUGACAAACCGGAGGAAGGCGGGGACGACGUCAGAUCAUCAUGCCCCUUAUGACCUGGGCUACACACGUGCUACAAUGGCGUAUACAACGAGUUGCCAACCUGCGAAGGUGAGCUAAUCUCUUAAAGUACGUCUCAGUUCGGACUGCAGUCUGCAACUCGACUGCACGAAGUCGGAAUCGCUAGUAAUCGCGGAUCAGCACGCCGCGGUGAAUACGUUCCCGGGUCUUGUACACACCGCCCGUCACACCAUGGAAGUUUGUAAUGCCCAAAGCCGGUGGCCUAACCGUAAGGAGGGAACC